CCUACGGGAGGCAGCAGUGGGGAAUAUUGGACAAUGGGGGGAACCCUGAUCCAGCCAUGCCGCGUGUGUGAAGAAGGCCCUCGGGUUGUAAAGCACUUUCAGUGAGGAAGAACGCCUGGUGGUUAAUACCCAUCAGGAAAGACAUCACUCACAGAAGAAGCACCGGCUAACUCCGUGCCAGCAGCCGCGGUAAUACGGAGGGUGCGAGCGUUAAUCGGAAUUACUGGGCGUAAAGCGCGCGUAGGUGGCUUGAUAAGCCGGUUGUGAAAGCCCCGGGCUCAACCUGGGAACGGCAUCCGGAACUGUCAAGCUAGAGUGUAGGAGAGGAAGGUAGAAUUCCCGGUGUAGCGGUGAAAUGCGUAGAGAUCGGGAGGAAUACCAGUGGCGAAGGCGGCCUUCUGGACUGACACUGACACUGAGGUGCGAAAGCGUGGGUAGCAAACAGGAUUAGAUACCCUUGUAGUC
rnacentral:rRNA from 1 species